AUUUGACAGACCCCUGGACAACAUAAAAUACCUACUUUACCCUUUUAGUUUCAAUUUAACCCUAACCACAUUAGCCUCUCUCUUCCACUCCCAAGUCCCACCCACAAUCCCGACACGCCAUUGCCAUCUAUCUCUUUCUAUCCCUUUCUCUAACUCUCCCUUGUCAAAACAGAAAACCACCAUAGUGGAAAACUCUCUGGCGGCAGCGGCAACGAAGAAGAAGCGGAAGGCCGGCAAAGGAUAAGGAUGGAGGAAGGUUAAAGGAGAUCGACAACGAUGACGAGGAGGACGGCGGCGGCGAGGAGGAGGAGAACGGGAUCCGUAUUCCGCCGCACGAGUUCUGGCUCGGCAAAUGGCGAGGACUAAGAUCGCUUCCUUCUCGGUGCACGAAGGGAGAGGUUCUUUGAAAAAAAUUACAAAUCUGUAGGCAUAUUCAAUGGUACAAAAGGAUGGGCAUGAUACAGAGAAUACUAACAAAGUACUGCUGAAAUGACUGCGUUUGUAUUGCUUUGUAUAACAUUAUGAGAUGCAAAUACUAAGAUGCAGAGAAGUGCCAUGUAAAGUUGCAUUCAUGCUACAGUACUACAGACUUAUGCUACUUAUAUAACUAUAGAUAAUUGUAGAUAAUUAUAGUCACAUGUAGUAACAUAUAGUUAUAUGUAUGUUAUGUGUUUUUUUAAUGUAUUGCGUGUUCAUGUUUUGAAGUUUAUUUGCAUGUUGUGA